rnacentral:rRNA from 1 species
GGAUUUGUCAGUUGGUCGGGCUUCACUGUCCGUAUUGACUUGAUGGAUUCUUACCUUCUGAAUAACCAGCAUGCUAUUAAGUUAGUGCGUUGGGGAAGCAGAGCUAUUACCUUGAAAAAAUUAGAGUGCUUAAAGCAGGCUUUUUCUUGAAUAGAUUAGCAUGGCAUAAUAAAAUAGGACGGCAUGGUUCUAUUUUGUCGGUUUCUAGGAUCACCGUA